rnacentral:rRNA from 1 species
GCGCAGCUACACAUGCAGUCGAGCGGUAGCACAGAGAGCUUGCUCUCGGGUGACGAGCGGCGGACGGGUGAGUAAUGUCUGGGAAACUGCCUGAUGGAGGGGGAUAACUACUGGAAACGGUAGCUAAUACCGCAUAAUGUCGCAAGACCAAAGUGGGGGACCUUCGGGCCUCAUGCCAUCAGAUGUGCCCAGAUGGGAUUAGCUAGUAGGUGGGGUAACGGCUCACCUAGGCGACGAUCCCUAGCUGGUCUGAGAGGAUGACCAGCCACACUGGAACUGAGACACGGUCCAGACUCCUACGGGAGGCAGCAGUGGGGAAUAUUGCACAAUGGGCGCAAGCCUGAUGCAGCCAUGCCGCGUGUGUGAAGAAGGCCUUCGGGUUGUAAAGCACUUUCAGCGGGGAGGAAGGCGUUAAGGUUAAUAACCUUGGCGAUUGACGUUACCCGCAGAAGAAGCACCGGCUAACUCCGUGCCAGCAGCCGCGGUAAUACGGAGGGUGCAAGCGUUAAUCGGAAUUACUGGGCGUAAAGCGCACGCAGGCGGUCUGUCAAGUCGGAUGUGAAAUCCCCGGGCUCAACCUGGGAACUGCAUUCGAAACUGGCAGGCUAGAGUCUUGUAGAGGGGGGUAGAAUUCCAGGUGUAGCGGUGAAAUGCGUAGAGAUCUGGAGGAAUACCGGUGGCGAAGGCGGCCCCCUGGACAAAGACUGACGCUCACGUGCGAAAGCGUGGGGAGCAAACAGGAUUAGAUACCCUGGUAGUCCACACCGUAAACGAUGUCGAUUUGGAGGUUGUGCCCUUGAGGCGUGGCUUCCGGAGCUAACGCGUUAAAUCGACCGCCUGGGGAGUACGGCCGCAAGGUUAAAACUCAAAGGAAUUGACGG